CUGGCAAAUAUCACGUCCUAUUGUCAACAAAUAAUUUUAAAUUGACAAGUCUCUAAAGUUCCAAAAUACGUACCUAGGUCAUAGGUGCUUGCUACUCGUUUUCAACAUCAACUAAACUACGUAGAAAAUGUUUUUUAAAGUAUUUGUUUUAAUUUUCUCCAUUCUAGCUGUGAGUAAAGUCGAAGCAGCUCACAGUUAUGAUUUCGGUGAUUUCUUGGCGACAGUUCUAGGUGUAGGGAUUACUGUUAUUGGUAUUCUCGCUUGUUUAGGUAAUUACGCAAGGAAAAAGGCUAGAAACGAGUUUAUAUAAAGCAAUUUUACGUAUUAUAACAAGAUGAGACUACAAUUACCAUCACAACACAACUAGUUAAAACUAAAGAUUUAUAAAACUUAAAUGUGUAUAUGCAUUGCACAAUAAUUUGAAAUGCACAUUUGUUUAAAUAAACAUGAAGACCUAUACAAUGGAAUACCCAACUGGAUAGAACAUUAAUUAAUAAAAUAAUAUUUCACGAAAAA